UGCGACGCGCGACUUAACGCCGGCAGGACCGACGCGCCGCCCUCGCCCCCUUCAAGUGAAGCUGAAUAAGACCUGCGGAGCAGCUACACACGUGAGAGAGAAAGAGAGAGAGAGAAAGUUUGAAAUCGGAAAUCACCGCGGGAUGACGCUGAACCGCAUGAUUGAGUCGAGUGAGUCGACAUAGGAUUGAGGAAAGGUCGUGCGAGCGAUAUUUCGGAAAAGCCGAUUUUGUUUGGAAAGAAAGAUAAAGGGGGCGAAAGAGUCAACAGAGAGAGAAGGGAAUUUCAGCGUUCAAAUUCUGAAAAAAUUGACACAGGCGCAGAAUCUUCUCAGUCGAGAAAAAUUGUCGGACGGUCCGUUCAAUCUCGAUUUAUAAAACAUGACAGAAUAAUUUCACGACGAACACGAUAAAGAAUCGAAUCGAUCGCACGGAAGAAAAGUCAACGCAGAGAAAUAAAAUUUAAAGGAUACGCGAGCGCCGUUCGCGAAAUAUCGAAAUGCGCGUGUUGUUUCGAGAGUAAGAAUUUUGAAUAGCUUGGGAAAGCGAAGUUCUGAGAAGAAAGUCCCGUUGCGAGAGGACGAAAUUACUGCACGAGAACGGAAACGCUCCAUUGCCAGAAUGUCAUCAUCUACGAAAAUCGAAGAUGCCAGGCAUUACAUCAGGCCGUCGUCGGAAAUUAAAAAAUGCGCUCCCGUACUUUGAAGAAAACGCGGGGAGUCUUGACGAAGGAGAAAGGUGAUCGAGGAAGGACGAGCGGAUAAUCGAGAUAUAUCACGCGAUCAUCGCGGAGGAGCGAAUGAUAUAAUUGCUGGCAAAACGUUCGAUCGACUGCUCAUCGGGAAAGCUGCCCGAAGGAUCGCGGCAAGUUAUUUUCCCAGCGGCGAGCCUUGAAACGACGCCGAUCGAUUCCUCGAAGGAUAAUAACACUCCUGGCUUUCGUGGUCCCUGCGAGAUACGCGGGACGUCCUUGGCCUCGUUCGCGCCAACAGGCUCGAGAGGUGUUUCUUUUUUUUUUUCGCUCCCGUUUUUGAAAUCCUUGCGUGAGGGCUGUGCAACCCGGAAGCUCGCGUUCUUUCGCGUCCGACUUGGAAAAUCGGACUCGGCGAGUGCGGAUUUUUUCCGCGGAUUUCCAUCCCUCCCCCUCGACCGUUCCGCUCCUGCGAGCUGUGUAUGCUUUUGUGUAUGAGAAAAUUUUCUAAUUAAAGUUGCAGCCGCGUUCGACUCACCGUACCGUGCGUGUCGGCCUACGCGCGAUAGGAUCACGUGAUCGCGGGCAAAAUCAAGAAUAUAGCGUUAAUCCGGAUCUCGCUCUCGAACUUUCGGUAACGUCAUGCAUACCUCGUAAUCUGACAUGCCUGAGCGGACUACUAUCAGCGGCAGAGAACUCCCAUUGAUGUCUAUACGCUUCCAAGUAGAUUUUGCCGAGAUUAACGUGAAGCGAAUUCAUGAGGUAAUAAAGCGAACAGAGAUUGAGCGUCAGAUGUAAUUUCCGGUGUAACGAUUCAGGCCUUUUGAAUUCACAGCCGAAAAUCCGACAGCUGAGACGCCGUGUAACUUCGCAAUAAUUCGUUUACAUCGUACGUCGCUAUUGUCUCGGUAAACAAUAAUUUUUUUAUUUAUUAUUAGUAUAAAACUGUGGAUAUAAUUAAUUAUAAGGAGAAUAAGCGGAAGGAAACUUCUCAAUUUUGAAGGAUUACGAAGGCGCAGCGCUGCUAGAAUGCGCAACAAUUGAUGGCGCGCAGAUGUACGUGUUGAAAACUCGCGACGAGUAGAAACGCAUGAGACAUUUCUCCGAGGAGUUCGCUUCUUGACAUUGUGCCGAUAAUGCCAAUAGCGAUCGCAAUACUUAGCGUUAUCAUUUGCUUUGUAAACCGUUUGAUGUGACUCUUCGUUUGAGACGCGGAACGUGACAUCUCGCAGAAACGAGUAUAAGAGGGAUACGUGCUCCCGAGGUGGCAACGAAUAAGCUGGCCGUAAUCUCCGGAACGUGAACUCCGGCGUGGAAGACGGAAGAAUUUUCCGCGGAAUAUUUGCCCGACGGAAACGCAUUUUGAAAAUCACCAGCCACCCGGUCUUCUCUCGCCGCGGAGAGAAAAGCUGCGCUAUUAUAAUUUCAUUGGAGUUACGGAACAGAGGGAGAAUAUAUGCAACUUUUGUGGCAAUAUAGAGAUAUCGCUUGCAACGUUAUUAAUCGAUCGUCCUUGGAAAUUUCACGCGAGCAAGUUUGAAGGAAGGAUGAGAAUUGAAAAUUUGAGAACCCGUUUGGAGUUUUUAUGUCGUUAAUCUUCUAGAACGAGUAUUUCAUUGUCGAAGAACACCUGUGACACUUUUAACUUGUUUAGCAACCAUAUGUUGCUGAAUAAAUCUUACGCAUAAAAAGGGAUGACUUAACAAUAGAUCGCAAGUUUUGGAUUAGAGGCAUGUUAUGCUGUCCAUGUUAGAAGGAAACUAAACGAUCGUACCUUCAAACUCGACUUGUUCAUUGUUGCGACGAGUGACUGCGAAUCGAAUUUUCGUUGCGAGGCGAUGCGUCACUGUAGCACAAUCAGCUUAAUCGUCAUACGCUGCCACCCGACAUAAAAAUUGUAAUUCUUCAUAACGAAUGGACUUGGUGUAGCGGAAGAUAAAGGUGUUUAAAAACUUGGCGGUCUAUUGGGUGGAAACUUCGCCGGGACGGCGGAACGGCAGUCGGAAACUUAAUCGAUGCAGCACGAAGUGCAGAGGGAAGUACACGAAUAGCACGAGACACUUGACGCACGUCAAGGAACGAUAUAUAUGUACGUGUAUGUGUACGUAUCAGUUUUCGUGUUUUUCUCUGCUGGCAAAGACUAGUGAGGGUUGUAAAAUUUACGACGAGGCAGUACAGCGGCUGAAAAUUGCCGCAAGGGAAGGCGCACCCGUAAAAAUUGCGCAGCGUAAAAGCACCACGGGAGGAGCAGAAAAAUUCCUACGUGGUGGUACUUGCUUUCCUCGAUAAAAGGACCGCAAUAAAAGG